AUCCCAGUUGUGUACAUAGAUGAUAAAUAUUAGUGGGAUGAAUGCAUAUUAUAAAAUCAUCUUUAAUUUUUUGGGGGGCGGUGCCAUUUAUUUUUAUAGAUGUACCUGUGUGGUCUAAGCUGGAAUCUGGUCACCUUCCAUCCAUGCAACAACUUGUUCAAAUUCUUGACAAUGAAAUGAAGCUCAAUGUGCAUAUGGAUUCAAUCCCACACCAUCGAUCAUAGCACCACCUAUCAGCACUGAAAACUCUUUUGCAUUAAGGGAUCAUUGCAAGAGCAGCGUGACUGACAUUAUGAAGGCCUGUACUGAAGACAGCAAGCUGUUAGUACAGACCAGAUGCUUUCUUGGCAGGCUCGUUGUACCUCUUGGAAAACCUCAAUGCAAGAUAGUGUUUCAGUGCUGGCAUAUUUUGGAAUUCUGCACAUUCAUGGAGUGCAAUAAUACUGUAUAGCUUUCCCCACCUCCCACAAAAUCACCCAGUUAAUGUGUGUGUGUGUUUUUUUUUUAAGGUAAACAUUACUACUUGUAACUUUUUUUCUUAGUCAUAUUUGAAAAAGUAGAAAAUUGAGUUACAAUUUGAUUUUU
rnacentral:lncRNA from 1 species